GACGAACCGUACGAACGUUAUUCGGAAUCACUGGGCUUAAAGGGCGCGUAGGCGGGGAGGUAAGUCGGGUGUGAAAUCCCUCGGCCCAACCGAGGAACUGCGCCCGAGACUGCUUCUCUUGAGUCCCGGAGAGGAAGAUGGAAUUCCCGGUGUAGCGGUGAAAUGUGUAGAGAUCGGGAGGAACACCGGUGGCGAAGGCGGUCUUCUGGACGGUGACUGACGCUGAGGCGCGAAAGCGUGGGGAGCAAACAGG
rnacentral:rRNA from 1 species